rnacentral:lncRNA from 1 species
UAAUUUAUAUAUAUGUCUAGAUUUAUUAGCAUCUAUAUGAAAUCUAGACAAUGUUAAAAAGUCUUACAUCAUAAAACGGAGAACGGAGAGAGUAUUUUUUUCUCAGAGUUUGUGAGGCUGGUUGUCCAGAUUACAUUGUGCCCUCUUCAGAUUCCUGUCAUUCUUAAACCAAUCAAUCAGGUGCCACAAUCUAUACUUAUCUCCACUCCCUCUUUUGUCGUGUAAAUUGUAAGAACCAUCCUAUACAGACGACAAAAGAGGUUGAUAAGUAUAGAUUGUGACACAUGAUUGAUUGUGGAAUUUGUUCAAACAUGGGUAAAUUUUUGUAGCAAAUCAAACAUGCAUGUCCUACUAUUAAAUUUGCCAAAAUCUUGGUAGGGUAAAAAGAUGGAUCCAAUCCAAAUAAGCCCAUAAUCCUCAGCUGAAACCAUUUCUUCAAACACCAUACAUGGUACAAAGGCGCCAUUUUUUUCCUUUCUUACUAGGUUAAAUUUGUCGGCCAUCAUUUGAGUUGUUGGUGGAAAAAACUAAAAGAUAUAUUUGCAAACCGGAAAUAAAUUAUGAAUAAAAAUUUUAUAUACAUCUUCAAUUUAAAAAACCAAAGCUAAAAAUAAUUCAUGAUAAAAAAACCAUAAAAUCAACUUCAAGUUUAAGGUUAAAAUUUUAAAUUUUAGCUUAUAAAUAUAAGCAAGAGAAAAAAAAUGGGAAUGGGGGCUGUGGGCGUCUCCCCUUCAUUUGCACGAACAAUUUUGACAAUUCGAGCGUGUGAUGUAAUGGUAUGAGGUGACCGAGCCCCAUCUUUGGAUGAUAGAAGUAAAAGCGAAACCGAAAAAAAUAAGGUGUGGGUAAAAAUUUAUAAUAUAUAUAUAUAUAUAUAUAUAUAUUCUUAACUAUCAAAAACAAAAAAUGGGAAAAUAAACUACGAUGAAAGAACACUAAAUUAAGUUUUAAAAUUUAAAAUUUAGUUUAUAAACAUAAUAAUAAACGAAAAGAUGAAAUCAAUACCGAUGAAGAUCUACUUUGUCAAAACGGAAAGUGAAAAAGAAUUAAUGCUAUAUUAACAUUCCUUCUCUUUUGUUUCGAAAAGAAACGAAAAUGAAGACAUGAACAGACAAUAUUAAAUUUCUGUUGAUUGCAUGAUUGCAUCGCACCUGAUCCCUUAAUCUGUUGAGUGCAUGAUUGCAUCGUACCUGAUCCCUUAAUUAAUUUACUAGGUUGGAUGACAUGAGAAGACGAUCUUCACGUGCCGGCCUCAUGGAGUUGCGACGGCGCACGACCAUGCCUGCAUGCAUGCGGCCUCGAUGGUCGCCUCACGGCGGCCGGAGCUUCACAGGAACGGCAGGGCGAAGAGGGUAUCCACGCCCCCCCGUAGUUCGCCGCCAGCCUGCGCACGGCGCGCCGGAGCCACCUCAGCCGCAGCCGCCGCAGGACCCCUCGCCCGCGCCCGCCGCCGCCACCACGUCCUCGUCCUCGUCCACCACCUUCUCCUCCUCCGCCGCCGCAGCCGUCUCCUAGCCGGACGACCGGGAGCUUCUUCCGGCGCCGCCUGAGCCCGCACCACAUCAGCGGCUGG